UGUCCCCUGUCCCCCCGGUGUCCUGGUGCCACCCUGCUGUCCCCAAAGAGCCCCGGGUGUCCUGGUGCCACCCCAAAGAGCCCAUGGUGUCUGAGUGCCACCCUAAGGGCAUCCAGGUGUCCAGGUGCCACCCCCUUGACCCCAGUGGACCCAGAUGUCCUUCCCUGAUUCCCUAAAAAGCCCCAGGUGUCCUGUGCCACCCUAAAGAGCCCACGGUGUCCGAGUGCCACCUCCUGUCCCCAAAGGGACCCAGGUGUCCUGGUGCCACCCCAAAGGGACCCAGGUGUCUGGGUGCCACCUCCUGUCCCCAAAGGGACCCAGGUGUCCUGGUGCCACCCUAAAGAGCCCCAGGUGUCCCUCCCUGACCCUUAAUAGGACCCAGGUGUCCUGGUACCACCCCAAAGAGCCCCAG